CUAAUACUCCCUCCGUCCAAAAAUACUUGUCAUCAAAAUAAAUAAAAAAGGAUGUAUCUAGAUGUAUUUUAGUUGUAGAUGCAUCCCUUUUGUCCAUUUUGAUGACAAGUAUUUUCGGACGGAGGGGGUAACUU
rfam:Triticum aestivum genome assembly, contig: Triticum_aestivum_CS42_TGACv1_scaffold_031243_1BL